UGGGGAAUUUUGGACAAUGGGCGAAAGCCUGAUCCAGCAAUGCCGCGUGUGUGAAGAAGGCCUUCGGGUUGUAAAGCACUUUUGUCCGGAAAGAAAUCCUCUGGGUUAAUACCUCGGGGGGAUGACGGUACCGGAAGAAUAAGCACCGGCUAACUACGUGCCAGCAGCCGCGGUAAUACGUAGGGUGCAAGCGUUAAUCGGAAUUACUGGGCGUAAAGCGUGCGCAGGCGGUUUUGUAAGACGGAUGUGAAAUCCCCGGCGUAAUCCUGGGAACUGCAUUCGUGACUGCAAGGCUAGAGUAUGGCAGAGGGGGGUAGAAUUCCACGUGUAGCAGUGAAAUGCGUAGAGAUGUGGAGGAAUACCGAUGGCGAAGGCAGCCCCCUGGGCCAAUACUGACGCUCAUGCACGAAAGCGUGGGGAGCAAACAGGAUUAGAUACCCUGGUAGUCCACGCCCUAAACGAUGUCAACUAGUUGUUGGGGAUUCAUUUCCUUAGUAACGUAGCUAACGCGUGAAGUUGACCGCCUGGGGAGUACGGUCGCAAGAUUAAAACUCAAAGGAAUUGACGGGGUCAUAGCUGUUUCCU
rnacentral:rRNA from 1 species